CGGACUGUAGUCUGCAACCCGACUACACGAAGCUGGAAUCGCUAGUAAUCGCGAAUCAGAAUGUCGCGGUGAAUACGUUCCCGGGUCUUGUACACACCGCCCGUCACACCAUGAGAGUCGGGAACACCCGAAGUCCGUAGUCUAACCGCAAGGAGGACGCGGCCGAAGGUGGGGCUUGAUAAUUGGGGUGAAGUCGUAACAAGGUACC
rnacentral:rRNA from 1 species